rnacentral:lncRNA from 1 species
UUAUUUAAGAUCCAAGUAAAUGGAAUUGCUUUCGGCAAUGAGAGAGAUCCAGCUAAUUCCAGGAGCUUCCACCUGAAAGCCAGCAAAUAUAUUUAUUAAUUUAAUAAAAAGAAGUCGAUGAAUAGGAUCAGCAUUUUUUUAAAAAAACAGUAUCUUGGUCAUUUUAUCAAGUUGUCAAAAAAAAAAAGCAAAUAGUCGAUCUUCUUAAAUCCUUCCUGAAUGCUACUACGUUGGAGGUUGAAAUCAAAUGUAUGGAUUUUAAACUCGGGUAAGAAAAUAAGUAACAUUGCAAUAUUGCAUAUAAAAAGAGAGAGAAAGAAAAUCGAAGAUUUAACUCCGGAAAAUGGAUGGAUGAAAUCACCUCUCCUAUCCAAGAAACGGUUCUCAACUCUGUUUUCUGGGCCGAUCCGUCGUCUGAUCUGACGAUCCUAGGGUUCCAAGUUCUCACUCCACCGAAGAAAGAAGCCGGAAUCGGAGAACACCGAGGACCAGA